ACUUGGCACUCUCUUUGUAAGUGCAAACCCUAGUCACAAACAGCGCAAGCCAGCUCUGAUCCAAUGGGUACACUCUCUCUAAACUGGUUUUUCUCUCAUCUCACAAUGCUUCAAUUUUGAUGGCUGUGUGUUUCUUACAGAUUUCAAAGCUAGUCGUAGUUUGGUGUUAAAUCUGUUACUUUCCUAGUUUUUUUUGGAGUCUUUCUGAUCUUGGGUUCAUCAAAAGGGCACUUGAACUUACCAUUUCGUUUGAUCUAUUUGUUUUCAUACUGCUGUUCAUUAAGCAUUUCGUUGCGCUAAUUUGUGAUCCACUGUAUUAUUCUUAUGGUUGCCACUGUCAAAUAUAAGUUUUGCAGUUUUGAUGUUCUUCGAUUUUCAAAAGAGCAAAUGCUUGCGUUGUUUAGCUUUGCAUUUGGUUGCUGACAUAAAAAUAAGGGUUCUGAGUUGCAUGCCGAUUUAAUUGUGAGUUAUUAUUAUUUCCGAAUAAGGAUGGGCUGUAAAGCUUUUUGUUAUUUUUUGUGCCAUUGAAUUUAAUCAAAUGCAUGAAGCCUUGUGCUCUAUAGUUAUAUUUUUGUUGAACACAAGCAUACUUUUCUGUUCUGAAGGGUACAUUUGCUAUGAAUGUGUUUUGAGACUUAACCCCCUGUGAUGUAAAAAGUUCAAUGUGCAGUGUAAAUGUUUUAACGUUAUGCAUUUGAUGAAAAUAGGGGCUUACAAGUAUGUCUCUGAGCUAUGGAGGAAGAAGCAAUCAGAUGUGAUGAGGUUUUUGCAGAGGGUGAGGUGCUGGGAGU
rnacentral:misc_RNA from 1 species